GUCCCUGUCGUCUAGAGGCCUAGGACAUCGCCCUUUCACGGCGGUAACCGGGGUUCGAAUCCCCGUAGGGACGCCA
rnacentral:tRNA from 1 species